rnacentral:rRNA from 1 species
GAUGAACGCUAGCGGCAGGCCUAACACAUGCAAGUCGAGGGAGAGGUUACCUUCGGGUACCCAAAACCGGCGCACGGGUGCGUAACGCGUAUACAAUCUGCCUUUCACAUAGGGAUAGCCCGAAGAAAUUUGGAUUAAUACCUAAUGGUAUAUAAGAGCGGCAUCGUUUUUAUAUUAAAGCUACGGUGGUGAAAGAUGAGUAUGCGUUCUAUUAGCUAGUUGGAGAGGUAACGGCUCCCCAAGGCGACGAUAGAUAGGGGUUCUGAGAGGGAUGUCCCCCACACUGGUACUGAGAUACGGACCAGACUCCUACGGGAGGCAGCAGUGAGGAAUAUUGGACAAUGGUCGGAAGACUGAUCCAGCCAUGCCGCGUGCAGGAGGAAGGUCCUAUGGAUUGUAAACUGCUUUUGUAAGGGAAGAAUAAGGAGUACGUGUACUUUGAUGACGGUACCUUACGAAUAAGCAUCGGCUAACUCCGUG